UGGUCAAGUUAUUAAGGGUGCAGGGCGGAUGCCUUGGCACUAGGAGCCGAUGAAGGACGUGAUAAGCUGCGAUAAGCUUCGGGGAGUUGCACGUAAACUUUGAUCCGAAGAUUUCCGAAUGAGGAAACUCACUUAGAGUAAUGUCUAAGUAUCAUUAAGUGAAUACAUAGCUUAAUGAGGGGAACUCAGGGAACUGAAACAUCUAAGUACCUGAAGGAAGAGAAAGAAAUUCGAUUCCGUAAGUAGCGGCGAGCGAACGCGGAUUAGCCCAAACCAAUAAAGUUUUCUUUAUUGGGGUUGCGGACAUAUCAUAACGAAGAGGUAUCGUAAUUGAAGAGGUUUGGAAAGACCCACCACAGAAGGUAAUAGUCCUGUAUGUUAAACGAGAAGACUUUAGAUAUGAUCCAGAGUACCACGGGACACGUGAAACCCUGUGGGAAGCAGGAGGGACCACCCUCCAAGGCUAAAUACUACCUAGUGACCGAUAGCGUAUAGUACCGUGAGGGAAAGGUGAAAAGAACCCCGGGAGGGGAGUGAAAUAGAACCUGAAACCCUGCACUUACAAGCUGUGGAAGCACAUUUCUUGUGUGACCGCGUACUUUUUGUAGAACGGGCCAACGAGUUACGUUAAGUAGCAAGGUUAAGCACUUAAGGUGUGGAGCCGUAGCGAAAGCGAGUUUUAACUGAGCGUUCAGUUACUUGACGUAGACCCGAAACCGGGCGACCUACCCAUGAGCAGGAUGAAGCGAAAGUAAAAUUUCGUGGAGGUCCGAACCCACGAGCGUUGAAAAGCUCGGGGAUGACUUGUGGGUAGCGGUGAAAUUCCAAUCGAGCCCGGAGAUAGCUGGUUCUCCCCGAAAUAGCUUUAGGGCUAGCCUCAAGGUGAGAGAUACGGAGGUAGAGCACUGAAUGUCCUAGGGGGUAUUGCACCUACCGAAGACUAUCAAACUCCGAAUGCCGUCAUCUUAUACUUGGGAGUCAGACUGUGGGUGAUAAGAUUCAUAGUCGAAAGGGCAACAGCCCAGAUCGUCAGCUAAGGUCCCUAAAUGUAAGUUAAGUGGUAAAGGAUGUGGGAUUGCACAGACAACCAGGAUGUUGGCUUAGAAGCAGCCACUCAUUCAAAGAGUGCGUAAUAGCUCACUGGUCGAGUGAUCCUGCGCCGAAGAUUUCCGGGGCUAAAACUUACUACCGAAGCUACGGCAUCAGUAAUGAUGGGUAGGGGAGCUUCCCAUACGGGUUGAAGCAUGAACGUAAGGACAUGUGGACAGUAUGGGAGUGAGAAUGUUGGCAUGAGUAGCGAGAUGUGGGUGAGAAUCCCACAGGCCGUAAACCCAAGG
rnacentral:rRNA from 1 species